rfam:Triticum aestivum genome assembly, contig: Triticum_aestivum_CS42_TGACv1_scaffold_321408_4BL
AAAAUACUCCCUCUGUCCGGAAAUACUUGUCAUCAAAAUGGAUAAACGGGGAUGUAUCUAGACGUAUUUUAAUUUUAAAUACAUCUCUUUUCAUCCAUUUUGAUGACAAGUAUUUCCGGACGGAGGAAGUAUAUC